rnacentral:rRNA from 1 species
CCACUUCGGUGGUUAGUAAAGUGGCGCACGGGUGAGUAACGCGUGGAUAAUCUGCCCUUAGGUUUGGGAUAACCCCGGGAAACCGGAGCUAAUACCGAAUGAGACCACGAUGACUUCGGUCGAUGUGGGAAAAGGUGGCCUCUUCUUGAAAGCCAUCGCCGAAGGAUGAGUCCGCGUUUGAUUAGCUUGUUGGUGAGGUAAAGGCUCACCAAGGCUCCGAUCAAUAGCUGGUCUGAGAGGACGAUCAGCCACACUGGAACUGAGACACGGUCCAGACUCCUACGGGAGGCAGCAGUCAGGAAUAUUGGGCAAUGGAGGCAACUCUGACCCAGCAACGCCGCGUGAAGGAUGAAGGCCUUAGGGUCGUAAACUUCUGUCGAGAGGGAAGAAACGCGUACGGUUAAUAUCCGUGCGCCUGACGGUACCUCCAAAGGAAGCACCGGCUAACUACGUGCCAGCAGCCGCGGUAACACGUAGGGAGCAAGCGUUGUCCGGAUUUAUUGGGCGUAA